GGUCAGUGAUGUGAUGUAAAAGGUCUGAACCUCAGGUCCCCCAUCCUGUCAGCCAUCUUGGAUCCCAGCAGCCCCUGCUCUCUGCUCCCAUCAUGCUCUAGUAGUGCAGUGGUGGUCCCAGGAGCUGCUGACACAGACAGGAUGUGACAUCACAGAGUCUGUACAGAGACACUACAGGCUCAGUGAUGAUGACUGACAUCCAACAGAACCAAUAAGCACCGAGCCUAAGGCUGUGGGGGCGGGGCCUGAGAGCUGAUCUCACUCUUCUGCUGAGACC
rnacentral:snoRNA from 1 species